rnacentral:snRNA from 1 species
GUGCUAGCUUCGGCAGCACAUAUACUAAAAUUGGAACGAUACCGAGAAGAUUAGUAUGGCCCCUGCAUAAGGAUGGCAUGCAAAUUCAUGAAGCAUUCCAUAUUUUU